GCGGCGACAACUGCGUGUUAUAUGUGUGCCCCUCUCUUUGUACACAUGUAUGGUCCUUUCAUACGCAAACUUACUCGCUGCAACGCACACGCACAAACUUUUAUUCUUCUUGGCACACACGUAUCUUGUGGGCAUAGUAGUAAGGCAGUCAGGCGAGGAAGCACACGUUGUGCCGCACGUAUAGCGCCAAACAUUCUUUAGGUGGGGGAGGGAGGUAGAACACCAGGGCUAGAGAACGGUGCAGCGUGGACCAGCGGACAUUUUCACGAAACAGGAGACGGGCUACGCGAGCACCGUACAAGCACGUGCCGCGGCAGUCUUCUUCUGCUCCGUGUGAUCGGUUUCCGACUCUGCGUGUGUUGUGGGAGGCGGAGUAUUCAAGCAGUUCCUACAAUCUUAGCCGUCACCGCCACCAGCCAACAGCUUCACGCGCCCCUCUGCGUACUUUUCAGCCAUCUCGGUCGCAUAUGUAGUAGCAUCGGUUGUGCAUUCUGCGCACUCUCCUUUGUGCUUACCCUUGUUAUCUCGCGCGUAACGAUUCCUCGGACAACGCGUGCAGCUCUCCUUCAAGAGAGGGAGCGCGCGCUUGAAUCAUCAGCGUGUCUUUCUCGGUGAGGGAGAGAGCCGGCCCGCGCAUGCGUGCUUGUAUCGUGAGUGCUGCGCUUUAUAUAUGUUUUCAUUUUGUUCUUUGAUGUUGUUUCCCUUCCUCACAGUCGGGUUACCGUGCCUCUUUGUAGCGUGUUCGCGUGCGUUUGAGAGUGUAGGUGAAUCAGUGGCUGGGCUGGGCCUGCACCCCUCCUCCCUCUUUUUAGUUUGAAACGCGUCUUACCGCUUUUCCCGUAUCGUCCCCUCAUAAAGCCUUGCUUUCCUCUUCCAUUACACUCCCUGUAUCUCCACGCCUUUCUUGCAAGGUUUUCAUUGUUUUCCGCUACCAUCAUGUCCGCUCUCGUUCCGAGUGAUGCCGUUGCCCUCCUGUAUCGCCGGUACCUGAAGGCGACGCACAGGAUUCCCAAUGUAACGAUCCGAAUGCUGCUGCUACAGCAAGUCCGCACCGGCUUCCGCCGCAACCGCAACAUUAAAAGCGCCUCCGCGCAGCGCGAACUCAUCAAUCAAGCACUCAAGGACUUGGCGGUGCUGGAGGAUGAUCGGCUGUCGCGUACCCUGUACAUCAAUCGGUUAGGGCUGGUCUCAUGUCUUGACUGGGAAGUGCGGAGAACGGAGUACAACUUCCGACCAGAGACGCAGUCUUACCUGGCUGUGCUUCUCAUCUGCGGCUUUUCGCUUCUUCUCGUGGCGUUCCUGCACACGGAGAGGCUGGAGAUACGACGCCCCGAUAUUGCGCAGAUGGUGAACUGCAUGGCCAUGCGUUUGGAGGCGGAGUCUCCGGAGCAGUUGAAGGAGGUGCGCGAGCGGCAGAUUCGCAAUUCGCUAGAGCAGCGCCAGCAUCAAGUGUCGCUGGAGCAACGUGUGCUGGCAACGUUUUGCAACGCCCCGAAUACGCCCGCGCCGUCGCUGCGGAAUCCAGAGGGCUCACUGCGUUACAAGCGGCACAGCUGAGCGUGUGGCUUUUGGGGCUGCUGGUGGGAGCCCCCUGUGCUCACUGCGAGGGCGAAAGGGCGAGGACGAGGUCACCAUCACCGAGGCGGCGCCUCUUCUUUCUGCGUGUGUGUGUGUUGGUCGUUGUCGGUGUGCCCAACGGAUGCGACCAGGUUGUAAACGCGGCGACAUGUAGCUCACAGCUUGUCUCUCCUGUGACGUCAUUUGCCAUGACAAGAAUGGUAGCCUGGCCCUCACACACGCCCCACCGCCGCAGUCGUUCCCUUAUGUGUAUCUUUAUGUUGGUUGCAGUCCUUCUGGUGCUCACAAUCACUGAAGGAAAAG
rnacentral:misc_RNA from 1 species